GAUUGGGGACAUGGUGGGUGCAAUGUUAAAGGGGAUUGGGUACUUAGGGGUGGUUGUGAUGGUAUAGGGGGUUGGGUAGUUUGUGGCUGUGAUGGUUUUGUUGUUGUAUGAUGUUUGGGCGUAAAGGGCACUGAUUUUUGUUGUGUCCCACUUGACGGCAGAUCCUACAUUUCUUUCUGUGGUCACCGACACUCAUUUGGGUCCAUCCUUAGUUAGCUCUGAUGCCUCCAACCUUCCCUUUUUCUUUGUCCUCC
rnacentral:lncRNA from 1 species